GGGGGCAUAGCUCAAUGGAAAGAGAGCGCACCGCUUCGAACGGUGAGGUUGGAGGUUCGAGUCCUCCUGCCCCCGCCA
rnacentral:tRNA from 1 species